GUACUCGCUUCCACAGCACAUAUAUUAAAAUUGCAAUGAUGAGGAUGGUCCCUGCACAAGGAUGACAAGCAAAUUCAUGAAGCAUUCCAUAUUAAA
ensembl:snRNA U6 U6 spliceosomal RNA